CUCCCAAUUAAUAAUUCUACCAAAAGUCCAAAGUUCGAGCCCAACUCUCAAGACCCAAGCUUUAAACCUAAAAACCCCAACAACCUAACACUAUUUUUUUUCCUUUUCAGAAUUCCAAUCUCCUUAGCUUCACCUUCACGCCUUCCACUGCGUUGCGUUGGUUGAUCUGCUCAGUUCACGUUCUCCUGUGCAACUGCGCCUCUGCCUCUUAGACUCAGUUCACGCCAUCCUUUACGCUGACCGAUCUGCUCAAGCCUCAAGACGUUGACUCCUCCCCAUUUCCGUCAACUUUGUUUUGCCUGAUCUACUCAAGCUUCAAGUCGGUUCUGUCUGUUGACUCCGUUCAAGAUGUUCCCGUCAUGUCGACGUCAGUUCAAGUCGAUUCUAAUCGUUCAUGUUGAACCUGUUCACGUCUGUUCAAGUCGGGUCUGCCGUUCAAUGAAAUUGCAAGUCAUAUUAACCAUCCCGUUAUCUACUGGAUCUUUGAUGUGCACUGACAAUAGAAUCUUUGAUGUGCACUCAAAAUUGAAUUGCAACUGAAAUUUUGACAGGUACUAGCACGGAAAAGAAAUGGCUAAACAUUUAGCAACUGUUUUAGAAAGAUGCAGACGAUUCUGAUGCAGAUGGAGUGGUAACUGAGGAUGGGGUGAUACCAAGAAAGGAGAAAAUUUUGAAUGUAAAGUCAUCAAUGAAGAGAGAAAGACGAGCAAUUUAUGAUUAUGGUUGUUGUAUUUGUAAUUGUAUAAGACAUUGCCUUAAAUUGACUUCCAACUUUUAGUCGAACUUUAUUUAAUUUAAAUUGUAAACUUAUUUAAUGGAUUUGUAAGGUUCUAAAUUGUGUUUAUUUCA